GAGGUGAGUCAGUGAUGUCAGCGACCCUCGAAGAUUCGGAAGCAGACGUUGAAAAAUAAGACAUCCAGGAGUUCCCUGGUGGCUCAGCGGAUGAGAGUCCAACCUGACAAUGCAGAGGACACAGGUUUGAUCCCUGAUCCAGGCAGAUUACCUCAUGCUGCUUGGCGCUACUAAGCCGGUGAGCCACAACCACUGAGUCCGUGCUCUAGAGCCUGCCAGCCACAACUACUGAGGCCCGUGUGCCUCGAGUCUGUGCUCUGCAACAGGAAGUCACCACAUUGAGAAGCCUGUACAUCACAAUGAAGAUUAACCGCUGCUCACCUCAACUAGAGAAAGCCCAUGCACGGCAACAAAGACCCAGUGUAAUUUUAAAAAAAAAGAAGAUAUCCAAAAACAACUGCAGUACAGAAGAAAUUAGAAGGUCAUUGUGCAUGCCCAGGGGAAAACACAGAGGUGGUCUCAGAGGAUGGGGAAGAUUUAGACAAGCAUAUUCCAUGGAGCUGAUCUUUGGGACUAUCUUUAGUUUUUUAACAAAGGCGUUAAGCUCUUGGGAACCGUACCAUCUUUUUGGGUUUUCAUUAAAGUAAUCGACUAAAGAAAAAGCUGUCCUGAGCUUCCCUGGUGUCCAGUGUUUCGGUCUGUUUCCACUGCAGGGAGCACAGGUUCCAUUGCUAAUUGGGGAAGUCCUGCAUACUGCACAGCGCGCCCAAAAAUAAAAUAAAGCUGUCUUAAUGUCCUUGUCCAGAGAAGGCAAUGGCACCCCACUCCAGUACUCUUGCCUGGAAAAUCCCAUGGAUGGAGGAGCCUGGUGGGCUGCCGUCUAUUGGGUCGCACAGAGUCGGACACGACUGAAGUGACUUAGCAGCCGCAGCAGCAAUGUCCUUGUCUGCUAGCUUCAGCACCUCUGUCAUUCUGCAUCUGUUACUAGUCAUAAUUUUUUUUCCUAAUUAUGGGUCGUCUUUUUCUGCUUCCAGGCACGCCUCCUAAUUUUUUAUCGGCUAUUGGACACUGUAGGUGUUACUUGUUGAGUAUCUGGAAUUUGGUGUCUUCCUUUAAAGGGUGUUGGACUUUGCUCUGAAAAGCAGUUAAAUUAUUUGUGAUGUGUUCAGUCUCUUUGAGAUUUUUUUUCUUUUUUUUUUUAUUUCAUUUUAUUUUUAAACUUUACAAUAUUGUAUUAGUUUUGCCAAAUAUCGAAAUGAAUCUGCCACAGGUAUACCCGCGUUCCCCAUCCUGAACCCUCCUCCCUCCUCCCUCCCCUACCCUCCCUCUGGGUCGUCCCAGUGCACCAGCCCCAAGCAUCCAGUACCGUGCAUCGAACCUGGACUGGCAACUCGUUUCAUACAUGAUAUUAUACAUGUUUCAAUGCUAUUCUCCCAAAUCUCCCCACCCUCUCCCUCUCCCACAGAGUCCAUAAGACUGAUCUAUACAUCGGUGUCUCUUUUGCAGUCUCAUACACUCUUUGAGAUUUUUAAAAAUAGUUUAUUUCAAAAUAAUUAUGGAUUUA
ensembl:lncRNA